UAUGUGGAUUUAUUAAAAUCCACAUAUUGAUAUGAAUAAAAAUGCAU
rfam:Pteropus alecto contig83153, whole genome shotgun sequence.